UACGUAGGCAGCGAGCGUUGUUCGGAGUUACUGGGCGUAAAGCGUGCGUAGGCGGUGUCUUAAGUUUGUUGUGAAAUCUCCCGGCUUAACCGGGAGGGUGCGGCGAAUACUGAGAUGCUGGAGUGCCAGAGAGGUAAGCGGAAUUCCUGGUGUAGCGGUGAAAUGCGUAGAUAUCAGGAGGAACACCUGCGGUGUAGACGGCUUACUGGACGGUAACUGACGCUGAGGCACGAAAGCGUGGGUAGCAAACAGG
rnacentral:rRNA from 1 species